CAGGGAUUGCCCUAGUAACGGCGAGUGAAGCGGCAACAGCUCAAAUUUGAAAUCUGGCUUCGGCCCGAGUUGUAAUUUGCAGAGGAUGUUUAUGGUGCGGUACCUUCCGAGUUCCCUGGAACGGGACGCCACAGAGGGUGAGAGCCCCGUCUGGUUGGAUACCAAACCUGUGUUAAACUCCUUCAACGAGUCGAGUAGUUUGGGAAUGCUGCUCUAAAUGGGAGGUAAAUCUCUUCUAAAGCUAAAUACUGGCCAGAGACCGAUAGCGCACAAGUAGAGUGAUCGAAAGAUGAAAAGCACCUUGAAAAGGGGGUUAAACAGUACGUGAAAUUGUUGAAAGGGAAGCGUUUAUGACCAGACUUGUGUCGUGUGGCUCAUCCGAGGUUCUCCCCGGUGCACUCCACGCGGCUCAGGCCAACAUCGGUUCUUGUUGGAGGAUAAGAACAGUAGGAACGUAGCUCUCCUUCGGGGGAGUGUUAUAGCCUAUUGUACGAUACUCUGGBGGGGACCGAGGACCGCGCUUCGGCUAGGAUGUUGGCGUAAUGGUCAUUAGCGACCCGUCUUGAAACACGGACCAAGGAGUCGUCCAUUAGAGCGAGCGUUUGGGUGUAAAACCCGCACGCGUAAUGAAAGUGAAAUUAGGUGAGAGCUUCGGCGCAUCAUCGACCGAUCCUGAAGUUUUCGGAUGGAUUUGAGUAAGAGUUUUAACGGACGGACCCGAAAGACAGUGAACUAUGCUUGAAUAGGGUGAAGCCAGAGGAAACUCUGGUGGAGGCUCGCAGCGGUUCUGACGUGCAAAUCGAUCGUCAAAUUUGAGCAUGGGGGCGAAAGACUAAUCGAACUGUCUAGUAGCUGGUUACC
rnacentral:rRNA from 1 species